rnacentral:rRNA from 1 species
GACGAACGCUGGCGGCGUGCUUAACACAUGCAAGUCGAGCGGAGCGGCGAACGGGUGAGUAACGCGUGAGUAACUGCACCCCUCUCUGGGAUAACAGUUGGCAACUGCUGCUAAUACCGGAUAGCGGGGGAUGACUGGCGGCCUAUCAGCUUGUUGGGUGGGUAGUGGCCGACCAAGGCGACGACGGGGAGCCGGCCUGGGAGGGCGACCGGCCACAUUGGGCUGAGAUACGGCCCAAACUCCUACGGGAGGCAGCGGUGGGGAGUAUUGCACAAUGGGGGAAACCCUGAUGCAGCAACGCCGCGUGCGGGAUGACGGCCUUCGGGUUGUAAACCGCUUUCAGCCAUGACGCGGUAGUGGCAGAAGAAGCACCGGCUAACUACGUGCCAGCAGCCGCGGUAAUUC